rnacentral:rRNA from 1 species
UGGCGGACGGGUGAGUAAUGUCUGGGAAACUGCCCGAUGGAGGGGGAUAACUACUGGAAACGGUAGCUAAUACCGCAUAACGUCGCAAGACCAAAGCGGGGGACCUCCGGGCCUCUUGCCAUCGGAUGUGCCCAGAUGGGAUUAGCUAGUAGGUGGGGUAACGGCUCACCUAGGCGACGAUCCCUAGCUGGUCUGAGAGGAUGACCAGCCACACUGGAACUGAGACACGGUCCAG